GACGUAGGGCGCGAGCGUUGUCCGGAUUUAUUGGGCGUAAAGAGCUCGUAGGCGGCCUGUCGCGUCGACCGUGAAAACCCGCAGCUCAACUGCGGGCUUGCGGUCGAUACGGGCAGGCUAGAGUUCGGUAGGGGAGUCUGGAAUUCCUGGUGUAGCGGUGAAAUGCGCAGAUAUCAGGAGGAACACCGGUGGCGAAGGCGGGACUCUGGGCCGAUACUGACGCUGAGGAGCGAAAGCGUGGGGAGCGAACAGG
rnacentral:rRNA from 1 species